rnacentral:lncRNA from 1 species
CCCAUUUCCACCCCCAGUGCCCACCCCUGGGCAGAUCCCCCAUCUCCAGUGCCCAAGGGGGGGUCCCAGCAUGGUGACACUGGGGGGAACCCCUCGUUUCGGGGUGAGUCCCUCCGUUUGGAGGUGGGGGGAGGGGAUCCCCCAUGAGUGCCGUCCCCUCCACAGCCUGCAGUGACCUGUACCCCAUGGAGGAGAACCCCUACGAACCUUUGGACCCCCCCAUCACUGCUCCAAGCCGGAAGCACGCACCUGACCCCCCAGUGUCCCCAGAGCGGCAGAGCUGCCCCCAGGACAGGCUGCUGCUGGUGGGGGCUGUGGCCCUGGGGGUCUCGGUGCUGCUCAACAUCUUCCUCCUCUCCCUUGGGACAAGGCGGAGUUGCCCCAUUUGCCCCCAGGGUUGGACCUAUUUUGGGGGAUCCUGUUAUUUCUACUCCAAAACGGCCAACACGUGGGACAGCGCGCGGGGAUUCUGCUCAGCCCGUGGGGCGCAGCUGCUGGAGGUGGACGGUCCUGAGGAGAAGGUGACCCCAAACCCGGCCCCUAAUCCUACAACCAACCCUGAACCUAAUCCAUGACCAGCGUCCUGCCCCCAUCCACACCCAACCCUAAUCCAUAACCACAACCCCAUCCCCAUCCUACACCCAACCCCAAUCUGCGACCCCAUCCAACACCCAAUCCUAAUCCAUGACCAUAAACCCAUCCUACACCCAACCCUAAUCCAUGACCAUAAUCCCACCCUACACCCAACCCUAAUCCAUAACCACAACCCCAUCCCCAUCCUACACCCAACCCCAAUCUGCGACCCCAUCCUACACACAAUCCUAAUCCAUGACCAUAAACCCCUCCUACAACCAAUCUUAAUCCAUGACCAUAAUCCCAUCCUACACCCAACCCUAAUCCAUGACC